rnacentral:rRNA from 1 species
UGAGGAAUAUUGGUCAAUGGGCGCAGGCCUGAACCAGCCAAGUCGCGUGAGGGAUGACGGUCCUACGGAUUGUAAACCUCUUUUGUCGGGGAGUAACGUGCGGGACGUGUCCCGUAUUGAGAGUACCCGAAGAAAAAGCAUCGGCUAACUCCGUGCCAGCAGCCGCGGUAAUACGGAGGAUGCGAGCGUUAUCCGGAUUUAUUGGGUUUAAAGGGGCGUAGGUGGACUGUCAAGUCAGUUGUGAAAUCCGCGGGCUCAACCUGCGGCCUGCAGUUGAAACUGGCGGUCUUGAGUCCGUUCAGGGAUGCUGGAAUUCAUGGUGUAGCGGUGAAAUGCUCAGAUAUCAUGAAGAACUCCAAUCGCGAAGGCAGGCAUCCGGGCCGGAACUGACACUGAGGCUCGAAAGUGCAGGUAUCAAACAGGAUUAGAUACCCUGGUAGU